rnacentral:rRNA from 1 species
GGUUGAUCCUGCCAGUAGUCAUAUGCUUGCAAGAAGAUUAAGCCAUGCAUGUCUAAGUAUAAACAACUUUAUAUUGUGAAACUGGGGACGGGUCAUUAUAACAGGAAUAAUCCCUUUGAUGAUUACUUUCUACAUGGAUAACCGUAGUAAUUCUAGAGCUAAUACAUGGGUAAAAUCACGACUCUUGCGGGGAGUGGUGUAUUUAUUAGAUAAAAACCAGUGCGGGUUCGUCCCGGUUUUGCGGUGAUUCAUAGUAACUGUUCGAAUCGCAUAGCCUGCUGCGGCGAUAGUUCAUUCGAAUUUCUGCCCUAUCAGCUUUGACGGUAGUGUAGUGGACUACCGUGGGUUUAACGGGUGACGGAGAAUUAGGGUUCGAUUCCGGAGAGGGAGCCUGAGAAACGGCUACCACAUCCAAGGAAGGCAGCGGGCGCGCAAAUUACCCAAUCCUAACACAGGGAGGUAGUGAGAUGCAAUAACAAUACCAGGCUUUUAAAGGGUCUGGCAAUUGGAAUGAGUACAAUUUAAAUACCUUAACGAGUAUCCAUUGGAGGGCAAGUCUGGUGCCAGCAGCCGCGGUAAUUCCAGCUCCAAUAGCGUAUACUAAAGUUGCUGCAGUUGAAAAGCUCGUAGUUGGAUUUCUGGUCAGGUGCUCUGGUCCGUUGCCGUCCUGG